CCUGCAGAUGCUGAGCAUCAGUGCAUGGAGACUGGAAGGCUGAUGACUGAAGGCUGAUGCAUCCUUGCAGGGUUAGUUGCAGCCCGAAGCUCCUAAAAGGAAAUGGAAACUUGAGUGAAAUCAGGAGAUUAAACACAGCCAGAGAGGCAGCUUUUUGGGCGUCCUUUGGGCUCUGACAGAUGAAGAUUGUGCUGAAAGUGCUAACUUUUUCCAGGCAUGGUGGAGCAAGCCCAGUUACUUAAAGGAAGAAGACUCCUAUAUUUCUCCUCAGUCUCCUUUUCUUAAGA
rnacentral:lncRNA from 1 species